rnacentral:rRNA from 1 species
UGGCUCAGGACGAACGCUGGCGGCAGGCUUAACACAUGCAAGUCGAACGCUCUCUUCGGAGAGAGUGGCAGACGGGUGAGUAACGCGUGGGAAUCUACCCAGUGCUACGGAACAACACAGAGAAAUUUGUGCUAAUACCGUAUACGCCCUACGGGGGAAAGAUUUAUCGGCAUUGGAUGAGCCCGCGUUUGAUUAGCUAGUUGGUGAGGUAAUGGCUCACCAAGGCGACGAUCAAUAGCUGGUCUGAGAGGACGAUCAGCCACACUGGGACUGAGACACGGCCCAGACUCCUACGGGAGGCAGCAGUGGGGAAUAUUGGACAAUGGGCGAAAGCCUGAUCCAGCCAUGCCGCGUGUGUGAUGAAGGCCCUAGGGUUGUAAAGCACUUUCAACGGUGAAGAUAAUGACGGUAACCGUAGAAGAAGCUCCGGCUAACUUCGUGCCAGCAGCCGCGGUAAUACGAAGGGAGCUAGCGUUGUUCGGAAUUACUGGGCGUAAAGCGCGCGUAGGCGGAUUGAUCAGUCAGGGGUGAAAUCCCGGGGCUUAACCCCGGAACUGCCUUUGAUACUGUCAAUCUAGAGUUCGAGAGAGGUGAGUGGAAUUCCGAGUGUAGAGGUGAAAUUCGUAGAUAUUCGGAGGAACACCAGUGGCGAAGGCGGCUCACUGGCUCGAUACUGACGCUGAGGCGCGAAAGUGUGGGGAGCAAACAGGAUUAGAUACCCUGGUAGUCCACACCGUAAACGAUGGAUACUAGCUGUCGGGUCUUCGGACUCGGCGGCCAAGCGAAAGUGAUAAGUAUCCCACCUGAGAGUACGUUCGCAAGAAGAAACUCAAA